rnacentral:rRNA from 1 species
UCUUCCGCAAUGGACGAAAGUCUGACGGAGCAAUGCCGCGUGAGUUAUGAAGGUUUUUGGAUCUUAAAACUCUUUUGUUAGGGAAGAACAAGUACCGCUCGAAUAGGGCGGUACCUUGACGGUACCUGACCAGAAAGCCACGGCUAACUACGUGCCAGCAGCCGCGGUAAUACGUAGGUGGCAAGCGUUGUCCGGAAUUAUUGGGCGUAAAGCGCGCGCAGGCGGUUUCUUAAGUCUGAUGUGAAAGCCCCCGGCUCAACCGGGGAGGGUCAUUGGAAACUGGGGAACUUGAGUGCAGAAGAGGAGGGUGGAAUUCCACGUGUAGCGGUGAAAUGCGUAGAGAUGUGGAGGAACACCAGUGGCGAAGGCGACUCUCUGGUCUGUAACUGACGCUGAGGCGCGAAAGCGUGGGGAGCGAACAG